AAAGGCAGGGUUCGGAGAUUUAACUCCACAAAAUUGCAAUGAAGUUGCCAUACUUGACGAGCUUUACAAAAGGCUUACAAACCCAAAGUUCCAAGUAUGGCAAUAACGGAUCCCGCAGGUAGCACAACACAGGUUAUUUCGACAGAUGCUUAAAAAUGCUACUAAUCACUGCAUUUAUAUUGUCAAUGAAAGAAAACAAUAAACAGUUCAGCUUUUCGUACUGAAUCGUAUUCAAACAGCACAAUAAAAUAUGACACAAUCUAUAAUAACUCUACAGUCAUCCGUACCAAGAGGCUAGAGUAAAAACCAGAAGAUUGAACGUUAAUUUUGCUCUGAAUCAUAUCAAGAAAACUAAAUAGAGAGAAAAUCAUCAUAAUACAAUGCGAAGAACGAUAAUUUUGCACUGAAUCGUAUCAGGAUAACUAAAUAGAUAGAAAAUCAUCACAAUACAGUACGAAAACCAUAAGUUUUUACCCUCGUAAUUGGGCUGCGUAUAAGACACAAAAGAAAAAUGCAUUUACUCAUUUCAUUAGACCGCGGCGAAAUACAUCGUUUUUACCCGUAUCAGAGCCAAAAUCAUUUGUAAACGAAAAAGUAAUAAGAGUAGAAAAGGAAAGAAAACAAAAAGCAAAACACAAAAGCAGACAGCAAAGGAAUUUGAUAGAGAUCAAAAAAGAAAAUGAACACGAAGAGCUACAAGAACGAGAAAUUACCAAUAAGAAAUAAGAAGGCAAAUGUGGGAUCUGUUAUCUUCAAAAAAAAAUAGGAAUAAUAGUAAUCCUCUUGAUUCCUUCAGAGUAAACAGGAAGCUACUCUAGCUUCGAAACUCUGAAGGAACCGCGAGAGAGAGAGCGAGGAGGAGGAGGAAAAAUAUGAACCUUUCAGAGCAAGAGAGAAAAAGAAGACGAAGGCGCCGCCUGCUGUUAAAACAACAUAGCCCGUUGGGGAAAGAGAAUACUUUCCUGUUGUUUUCUUGUUGAAUUUACUGUUUUGCCCUUGAGAAACAGUAAGCUGUAGUUUAAUCGUGGUUAAGGGGGUUAAUUAGCGAAUAUUAGUGCAUAAAAAAUAUUAAUAAUUUUGACACUUGGUUGGACUUUCCUAUUUAUGAGCUUUGAAGUUUGACCAUCCAGAGUCCAACUUGCAUUUCCAUCGCUCUAUUACUAAACGCGCCCGUGUGCGGAAGCGCGUGGGUCGUGUCUACGGGCACCGCCGCCGUGUGGCCGGCUUGUGUGCAAAAUUUAGACGCGCCAACCUCAGGUGUUUGAUAAUAAG
rnacentral:lncRNA from 1 species